rnacentral:rRNA from 1 species
AACGAACGCUGGCGGCAUGCCUAACACAUGCAAGUCGAACGAGACCUUCGGGUCUGGUGGCGCACGGGUGCGUAACGCGUGGGAACCUGCCCUUAGAUUCGGAAUACCUCCCCGAAAGGGGUGCUAAUACCGGAUAAUUUCUUCGGACCAAAGAUUUAUCGUCUUUGGAUGGGCCCGCGUUGGAUUAGCUAGGUGGUAGGGUAAAAGCCUACCAAGGCUACGCUACAUAGCUGGUCUGAGAGGAUGAUCAGCCACACUGGGACUGAGACGCGGCCCAGAAUCCUACGGGAGGCAGCAGAGGGGAAUAUUGGACAAUGGGCGAAAGGCUGAUCCAGCAAUGCCGGGUGAGUGAUGAAGGCCUUAGGGUUGUAAAGCUCGUUUACCCGGGAUGAUAAUGACGGUACCGGGAGAAUAAGCUCCGGCUAACUCCGUG